rnacentral:rRNA from 1 species
UACGUAGGGUGCGAGCGUUGUCCGGAAUUACUGGGCGUAAAGCGCACGUAGUCGGCUUUGCAAGUCGGUUGUGAAAUCCCCGGGCUCAACCUGGGAACUGCAUCCGAGACUGCAUUGCUAGAGUAUGGGAGAGGAAAGCGGAAUUUCUGGUGUAGCAGUGAAAUGCGUAGAUAUCAGAAGGAACAUCAGUGGCGAAGGCGGCUUUCUGGACCAAUACUGACGAUCAGGUGCGAAAGCGUGGGGAGCGAACAGG